GACGAACGCUGGCGGCGUGCUUAACACAUGCAAGUCGAACGGAAAGGCCCUGCUUUUGUGGGGUGCUCGAGUGGCGAACGGGUGAGUAACACGUGAGUAACCUGCCCUUGACUUUGGGAUAACUUCAGGAAACUGGGGCUAAUACCGGAUAGGAGCUCCUGCUGCAUGGUGGGGGUUGGAAAGUUUCGGCGGUUGGGGAUGGACUCGCGGCUUAUCAGCUUGUUGGUGGGGUAGUGGCUUACCAAGGCUUUGACGGGUAGCCGGCCUGAGAGGGUGACCGGCCACAUUGGGACUGAGAUACGGCCCAGACUCCUACGGGAGGCAGCAGUGAGGAAUAUUGCACAAUGGGCGGAAGCCUGAUGCAGCAACGCCGCGUGCGGGAUGACGGCCUUCGGGUUGUAAACCGCUUUCGCCUGUGACGAAGCGUGAGUGUCGGUAAUGGGUAAAGAAGCACCGGCUAACUACGUG
rnacentral:rRNA from 1 species